CCAAGGAAGAAACGAAGUAUACGGACCGCAUACCCCAACCCAUGUAAACUAUGAAGACCCGUGUAAGUCUCUGCCGAGCUAGGAUUGAAGAUUUACCCGAAGUACAAAAGUACACGGGCCGUGUAAUCAGGCCCGUGUAACUACCUGAUGUCCGUGUAAAGUCCUGUCCCGGUACAAGAUGCAACAAUUCAAGCACCAGUAAGUUACAUGACCCUGACCUGUGUAGUGACACAUGAGCCAUGUAUCACACGACAGCCAAUUUCCAGAUUUGGCUCCAGUUCUAGUUUUUUACAGAAAAAAAGAAACUUCUAAUGCUAUUAGGACUCUGAAAAUCUAACCCUAGACAUUGUAUAUAAAUAGAAGUAGCAAAAAGCAAAGAAAGAACGGGAAGAUCACCUUCACUAUUUUCACAGCCGUUUAGAAGAAUAGUGCAUCGGCAUCAAGGAGGAACCAUCAGCUGAAAUUUCACAAGAUCAAAGCUAUAGAUUCUUUUCGGUUCUUUUCUUCUAUUUCUUUAAGCAGACUUUU
rnacentral:misc_RNA from 1 species